ensembl:lncRNA
CGGCAACCGGCCGUCCCGCUCGUCCCCCGUCCCCUCCGCCGCUGUGGGCCGAGGCACGGCUUUCUUUUCUCCCCGCCGUGGUCCGUAGGCCUUGGCAAGCGUCUCCUGGCGCCGCUGGGUUUCGAGCGGCGGCCACGUUUCAGACGUUGCUGCCAAGUGGAGAAAGUGAAGCGAUUGGUCACGCGUCCCCUCACGAGCACCGUGUGGAAGCCCUCCGGCAAAGCCCGCAGCCCGAGGGCGCGGGGACGGACCCCUGCCUGAGGCCCCAGAGUGUCACUGGGCUGCCGGCCAUUGGGGCGAGAGAGAAGGGACGCGGUCUGAGAUGAUGAUGCCCCUCUGUAUGAUGGUUGAUUCCCUCAUUGGCAGCCCCUGAGUCCUGCACUGCUCCAUAUGCUACAACUCUGAGGAAGAAUCAGAAAAGCUCCAUACUGAGCAACACUGAGUUCCAGGGUCAGAGGUUAAAGUGAAAAGGACGAGCAGAAGGAAAGCUUCUACUUCCUCUCUUCAUGACAGUGAAAGAGAUCUAUUCCUUGCUUCCUGAAGGGAAGAAAGUGAUCUGCCACAGGAAAAUCAAGUUAGCAAGGUAUUCUACACAGAGCUUCUGUUUUCCACAUGAAAUCUGGAUAUGAUACUGUCUUCAAGAUCACACUCUGCAAAUUUCCUACAAAGAAGGGGAAUGCCUGGGAACAGAGGCACAAGACCAGAAAGCCCUUUGCCUACCUCAUCUGAGCUGAGCUGCUGCACUCCUUAAAAACAGACAUUUGGAAAAUGGGAAAGAAAAGCAAAAUUCCAGUCCUGAAAAUGCUGCUCAGGCUUCUGGCAUGUUUAGACUUAAGCACAUACUUUUGUUUACAGUAAUGGGAUCUACAAUCAACCUCUUUAUAUUAAUUCUCACAUCUCUUUUUAUACCAUGCUGACCAGAAGCCUCAAUCUACAUGUCCAGCAAAGGUAUUCAAAGCAUCCAGGUACAAAGACUCCAACAGAGGGUUACAGUGGUGUUUGGUGGAUAGUCCUGGAAGGUCUUCAGUGUUUUGUCAGCUCAUCUAAGUU